rnacentral:snRNA from 18 species
UCAUUAAAUACUUGAGUACAGGGCCUUUCACAAGACCCGAUGUACAAUUUUUGGAGACCCUGUCCUCUCUCGGGCAGGGUU